rnacentral:rRNA from 1 species
CAAUAGCGUAUAUUAAAGUUGUUGCGGUUAAAAAGCUCGUAGUUGGAGUUCUGCCAGGUGCCGCCUGUCCGCCCCAGUGGUGAGUACGUGGCGCGCAUUUGGCCCUUUCAAGGGGAGCGUAUCUGCACUUUAUUGUGUGGUGCGGGAUCCUUGACUUUUACUUUGAGGAAAUAGGAGUGUUCCAAGCAGGCUCUCGUCGUGCACAGCUCAGCAUGGAAUAAUAGCAUUGGACCUCGAUUCUAAGCUGUUGGUUGCCAGAAGCGAGGUAAUGAUGAAGAGGGAUAGUUGGGGGCAUUCGUAUUUAACUGUCAGAGGUGAAAUUCUUGGAUUCGUUAAAGACGGACUACUGCGAAAGCAUCUGCCAGGGAUGUUUUCAUUGA